rnacentral:lncRNA from 1 species
UGAAUCUUGUUCGCCGGGACAGCUAAAUGGGGGCGACCGAGGCGUGCUUUUCUGUGGGUGCAGCUUUCGACGGCCCCUUUGCCUAGCCUGGCUGCACUUGCCUUUCUCCCCUUGGGACUAGGGCUUCUGAGAUCUGUCCCUACUAAAGGAAAUGAAACUGGAAUUGACCUGAUGAUAACACCAAGGCCCUUCAGACAAGAUCACAGAGGAGGAAACCUGGCUUCCAAAUGAAGACACCAACAUUCAGAAUUUCUACUUAUUCAAAGUUGUUCGUGUAAUUGACCUUAAAUGAGGGGAGAGCAAAUCGACUAGCACCAUCUCUGGACACCACUGCGUUCCUCCACUCCCCCAGAAGCCGCCCUCUGGAGCACUCAAUUUGACCAUAUCUGCUUUGAGGACUCAGUAUGAACAAAGAAGUCUCCCAGGUGUGAAGUUCAUCAACAUGAGUGGCCUUGGGGACAGUUCAUCCGACCCUGCGAACCCAGACUCACAUAAGAGAAAAGGAUCGCCAUGUGACACACUGGCAUCAAGUACUGAGAAGAGGCGCAGGGAGCAAGAAAAUAAGUAUUUAGAAGAACUAGCUGAAUUACUGUCUGCCAACAUCAGUGACAUUGACAGCUUGAGUGUAAAACCAGAUAAAUGCAA